CCCCACCACCACCCUAUCGAAUUUCUGGCGUUUCCAGCCUUAUUAUAUACACCGUUCAUACUCUUUAAAACAGAAUGGAAAUAUUACAAAAUAUUACCAUUUUAUUGGACAAAGAAUUUUUUUCUUUAGUGUUUCGUCAGUGUUCAAGGUUGUUUUCCGUACAGCAUGUAAAUCUGGAAGUUUCAGGGGCACGUACCGAAUGUUUUACCGUGCUCUAAAACAUACCAUGCCGUCAAUCCAAAAGUCAAUCAACAAGUGACUGGCACUUUUAGGCCUCAGUCUCCGACUGGAGCUUGGCCACAUAAGCUACCUUGUGUGUGGCAAUUUUGGCCUUGCGAUGCUCGUUAGUGAGUUUCUUAGCAUUCCACCUCUUCUUUGUAACGACAGAAGCCUUCUUUGCGGUGACCUUAUGGGUGGGGUCGUUACGAAUGGCCUGGUGGGCUUUUUUAUAGAUAUCUUCAAGCUGCAAAAUAAAGGGAUUUAUAUGAUCAUUAUAAAUUAAAUAAAGAAAUAGAAACAGAAAUUGAUCUUA